rnacentral:ncRNA from 1 species
GGAGCCAUAGCGAGAGCGAGUCUUCAUGGGGAAAUUGUCACUGCUUAUGGAUGCGAACCUGGGUGAUCUAUCCAUGACCAGGAUGAAGCUUGGGUGAAACAAAGUGGAGGUAUAAACUGACUGAUGUUGAAAAAUCAGCGGAUGAGUCAUGGUUAGGGGUGAAAUUCCACUCGAACCCAAAGCUAGUUGGUUCUCCCUGAAAUGCAUUGAGGCAUAGAAGUUGACUAGACCAUCUAGGGGUAAAGCACUAUUUUGGUACGGGCCACGAGAGCGAUACCAAAUCGAGGAAAACUCUGAAUACUAUAUUUCCCCAAUAAAAGGGGUAAAGGUUAGCCAGUGAGAUGAUGGGGGAUAAGCUUCAUCGCCAAGAGGGAAACAACCCAGAUCAUCAACUAAGGCCCCUAAAUGACCGCUUAGUGAUGAAGGAAGUACGAGUGCAAAGACAGUGAGGAGGUUUGCCUAGAAGCAGCCAACCUUGAAAGAGUGCAUAAUAGCUCACUGAUCGAACGCUCUUGCGCCGAAGAUGAAUGGGACUAAGCGAUUUGUCGAAGUUGUGGGAUGUAAAAAUACAUUGUUAGGGGAGUGUUCUGCCAGGGAAACACCGGCACAAUUAGUUGUGGACGAAGUGGAAGCGAGGAUGUCAUCUUGAGUAACGCAAACAUUGGUGAGAAUCCAAUGCCCCGAAAACCUAAGGGUUCCUCUGCAAGGUUCAUCCAUGGAGGGUGAGUCAGGGCCUAAGAUCAAGCUGAAAGGCGUAGUCAAUGGACAAUAGGUUAAUAUUCUUGUACUACCCCUUGUUGGUCCCGAGGGAUGGAGGAGGCUAGGUUAGUUGAAAGAUGGUUAUCGGUUCAAGGAUGUAAGGUGACCUUCUAUACAUUGAUUCAAAGGUAAAAGAAGAAUCAAAUAUAGGUGUGUACAAUGUGAGGUUGGGGGUGCAUAUUCCUCAUCAUCUACUCUAGCACACAAAAAUCCAAGAUGGCUUAUCCAA